rnacentral:rRNA from 1 species
AACGUAGGGGGCGAGCGUUGUCCGGAAUUACUGGGCGUAAAGGGCGUGUAGGUGGCCUGUGAAGUCGAAAGUGAAAACCUGGGGCUCAACCCCGGGCCUGCUUUCGAAACCAGCAGGCUUGAGGACAGGAGAGGGAAGCGGAAUUCCCAGUGUAGCGGUGAAAUGCGUAGAUAUUGGGAGGAACACCAGUGGCGAAAGCGGCUUUCUGGCCUGUAACUGACACUGAGGCGCGAAAGCGUGGGGAGCAAACAGG